AUUGAACGCUGGCGGCAGGCCUAACACAUGCAAGUCGAGCGGAGCGGCCGACGGGUGAGUAAUUCCUAUGAAUCUGCCUGGUAGUGGGGGAUAACGUCCGGAAACGGGCGCUAAUACCGCAUACUAUCAGACGUGCCUAGGUCGGUUUAGCUAGUUGGGGGGGUAAAGGCCUACCAAGGCGACGAGCCGUAACUGGUCUGAGAGGAGGAUCAGUCACACUGGAACUGAGAAACGGUCCAGACUCCUACGGGAGGCAGCAGUGGGGAAGAUUGGACAAUGGGCGAAAGCCUGAUGCAGCCAUGCCGCGUGUGUGAAGAAGGUCUUCGGGUUGUAAAGCACUUUAAGUUGGGAGGCGUUACCAACAGAAUAAGCACCGGCUAACUUCGUGCCAGCAGCCGCGGUAAUUC
rnacentral:rRNA from 1 species